CUCUGCCCAAAGCUUUGGUGAUUGAGCAGCCAAACCCAACGGGCUCCAGCCUGCACUGGAGGGCCCCUGGUCCUGCCCGUGGUGUGGGAUGCUGGAAUUGCCUCUGGAUGUGUGCUGAGCUCUCACUGCAGGGGACUGCCAGGCCUUAAUGGUUGCACCAAGGACAGGAGGGGCUGCUUCCCUUCCUGGGGCUCGGCCUCCUCCCGCCCCGCGCUCCCGGCCAGCUGGGACACACGGAGGGAACACCGAGGAACAUUCCUGGCAGGGAGCAGGAGUCCCCGAGGGCUCCGUGCAGCUCUGGGCCUGAGAACAGCCCCGGCCUCAGCCCCCACCGUGACUUUGGGCUGUGAGCACUCACCUGCAG